UCCCUGGUGGCUCAGACAGUAAAGAAUCUGCCUGCAAUGCAGAAGACCCGGGUUUGAUCCCUGGGUUGGGAA
rnacentral:tRNA from 1 species